AUUGCGUUUGAAUCGGAAAAUUCAAAUCAUUUCACUUUAGUGGCUAUAGUGUGGUUAAAGUAAUCGGUUAACUUUUUUACUCAUUUUUUAUUACGUUCGUUGAUGCAACGGAAUACGUAACCAUGAGAACCCUAAAAUCAUUUCUGUGGUUUAAACUGGAAACCGGAGUCUAAUUUCUGUACUAUUUCUAACAAUCUAUGACUGCAAUGACCUGGCUGGCCUGUUCAAUCAAAUCGAAAAGGCUUUAAGUCAUUCGCGACAGGAGAGGAAAGGAUGCGAUCGAGGACUUUUCAUUGGAAUAUUGAUAGUUAUAACGAUGUUUUGUUCCGGUUUUUCCAUUAUUGGUUACAGAGCCAUUCAGGGGGUUAAAGCGCGAGACCAUGUUCGAGUUAAGCCAAUCAUGAUACUGUACGCAAUCAGUACAAUUUUAUCAUUGUUCCCACUCUUCUCGUUAUCGUUUCUCGGCAUUAUGAUUGGAUUACUUCACACAGCAAUGUUAACCUACAUAUACUUGGUAAUAUACUCUGUUUACGACUUACUGCAACGAGAAUAUGAAAGUGCAUUCGGAAGGCAAAAUCAAGAGGCUAGGAAAGCCUUAAAUGAAAUAUGAAUUGAGCUAUUGUUCUUCUUGAAAUCGUAUCCAUGUCUGAACUCAGUGUAGUAAUUUUGACAAUCAAAACGAAUCAAAUAUCCUCCCUCACAUCGCCUUAUUCGGUUAUUCAAAGUCAGUAUUUAGUUUUUAUGGCGCAGGUGACGAAUAUAUUUACAUAAUUUUAUGUUUAGUAUCGACGAAAUGUGUCUUUAUCGUCAUAGACUUUCGUGUAAAAAUCGUAUUUUCUUUUGCAAAAUAUUGAUUUUCGUUAGAUUUAGUGUCUGUUUUAACAUUUUCUAUUCGCGUAGGUACUAAUUUAGCAUCACAAAUGUUCAAAGUAAUGUUGUUGUAUGAUUGAAUAAAGAAUGGAGACUGAAGUCUUUCACAUGA